AGUGAACGCUGGCGGUAGGCCUAACACAUGCAAGUCGAACGGCAGCACAGUAAGAGCUUGCUCUUACGGGUGGCGAGUGGCGGACGGGUGAGGAAUACAUCGGAAUCUACUUUUUCGGGGGGGAUAACGUAGGGAAACUUACGCUAAUACCUCAUACUACCUACGGGUGAAAUCAGGGGAGCUUCGGACCUUGCGCGAUUGAAUGAGCCGAUGUCGGAUUAGCUAGUUGGCGGGGUAAAGGCCCACCAAGGCGACGAUCCGUAGCUGGUCUGAGAGGAUGAUCAGCCACAUUGGAACUGAGACACGGCCCAGACUCCUACGGGAGGCAGCAGUGGGGAAUAUUCGACAAUGGGCGCAAGCCUGAUGCAGCCAUGCCGCGUGGGUGAAGAAGGCCUUCGGGUUGUAAAGCCCUGUUGUUAGGGAAGAAAAGCAGCAGGUUAAUCCCCCGCUGUUCUGACGGUACCCAAAGAAUAAGCAACGGCUAACUUCGUG
rnacentral:rRNA from 1 species